rnacentral:rRNA from 1 species
UGGGGGAUAUUGCACAAUGGGCGAAAGCCUGAUGCAGCGACGCCGCGUGGGGGAUGAAGGCCUUCGGGUUGUAAACUUCUUUUGCUCUGAACAAGGCAUGCUAAUGGGUGUGUUGAGUGUAGGGGUUGAUUAGCGCCGGCUAACUACGUGCCAGCAGCCGCGGUAAUACGUAGGGCGCGAGCGUUGUCCGGAAUUAUUGGGCGUAAAGGGCUUGUAGGUGGCUGGUUGCGUCUGGCGUGAAAGCUCAUGGCUUAACUGUGGGUUUGCGGUGGGUACGGGCUGGCUUGAGUGCAGUAGGGGAGGCUGGAAUUCCUGGUGUAGCGGUGGAAUGCGCAGAUAUCAGGAGGAAUACCGGUGGCGAAGGCGGGUCUCUGGGCUGUUACUGACACUGAGGAGCGAAAGCAUGGGGAGCGAACAGG